GAGGGAAGUCCCGAGACAAAGGGAAGCGCCGCCGCCGCCCCGCUGUCCCACUUAGCCCUCCGCAGCGGCCAUCUGAGGGACUUUAAAUAUGUCGGGGAUCGCCCUCAGCAGACUUGCCCAAGAGAGGAAAGCCUGGAGAAAAGACCACCCUUUUGGUUUUGUGGCUGUCCCGACAAAAAAUCCCGAUGGCACAAUGAACCUCAUGAACUGGGAGUGCGCCAUUCCAGGAAAGAAGGGGACUCCGUGGGAAGGAGGUUUGUUCAAGCUGCGGAUGCUCUUCAAAGAUGAUUACCCAUCCUCACCUCCAAAAUGUAAAUGUGAACCACCAUUAUUUCACCCAAAUGUGUACCCUUCAGGCACAGUGUGUCUGUCCAUCCUGGAGGAGGUCAAGGACUGGAGGCCAGCCAUCACAAUUAAACAGAUCUUAUUAGGAACUUCUAAAUGAACCAAAUGUCCAAGACCCAGCUCAAGCAGAAGCCUACACGAUUUACUGCCAAAACAGAGUGGAGUAUGAGAAAAGGGUUCGAACACAAGCUAAGAAGUUCGCACCCUCAUAAACAGCGGCCUGUGACAUCGCAAAAAGGAAGGGAAUGGUUUGGCAAGAACUUGUUUACAACAUUUUUGGAAAUCUAAAGUUGCUCCGUACAAUUACUAGUCACCCGGGGAGGGUUGGGUGGGUGCCAUCUUCCAUUGCCGCCACGGGGACACAGUUCUUGAUUCGCUGAAUUGCCCAGAUUUU